UACUACCACCCCUACACGACACCCUACCACCAUACCUUCACGACCCCCUACUACCAUACCUUCACGACCCCCUACCCCCAUACCUUCACGACCCUCUACCACCCCAUCACGACCCCCUACCACCCCUACAACCGGCCGCAAUCUCUGAGAAAUUAUAUCCACCUGAGCGUGGAGCCCAGUGCAGCUACAGGUAUGACGGUGACGUGCAGGCUGGAUCCGAUCCUAACCCUAUACCUAACCCUAACCCAAGGCACGGACGCCGAGAGCGUUGUUUCCAUGGUGAUCAAGAGGCUUCAGCUGCCCCAGCGGGACAUUAAAAACGUGGCAACCAUCACAGCCUUCCAUCCCGACACCCCGAGGUUGGACAGUGCCAUACACGGCGCUGAGGUCAAAGGU